rnacentral:rRNA from 1 species
UACGUAGGGGGCGAGCGUUGUCCGGAGUUACUGGGCGUAAAGGGCACGCAGGCGGUUGUGUCAGUUUGCGGGGACAGUGGGCGGCUUAACUGCCCAAGGGUCGCAAAGACGGCACGACUGGAGAGCGAGAGAGGGACCUGGAAUUCCGGGUGGAGCGGUGAAAUGCGUAGAGAUCCGGAGGAACACCACUGGCGCAGGCAAGGUCCUGGCUCGUAUCUGACGCUGAGGUGCGAAAGCUAGGGGAGCGAACGGG